AUGAACGCUGGCGGCGUGCCUAAUACAUGCAAGUCGAGCGAACAGAUGAGGAGCUUGCUCCUCUGACGUUAGCGGCGGACGGGUGAGUGACACGUGGAUAACCUACCUAUAAGACUGGGAUAACUUCGGGAAACCGGAGCUAAUACCGGAUAAUAUAUUGAACCGCAUGGUUCAAUAGUGAAAGACGGUUUUGCUGUCACUUAUAGAUGGGUCCGCGCCGCAUUAGCUAGUUGGUAAGGUAACGGCUUACCAAGGCGACGAUGCGUAGCCGACCUGAGAGGGUGAUCGGCCACACUGGAACUGAGACACGGUCCAGACUCCUACGGGAGGCAGCAGUAGGGAAUCUUCCGCAAUGGGCGAAAGCCUGACGGAGCAACGCCGCGUGAGUGAUGAAGGUCUUCGGAUCGUAAAACUCUGUUAUUAGGGAAGAACAAAUGUGUAAGUAACUAUGCACGUCUUGACGGUACCUAAUCAGAAAGCCACGGCUAACUACGUG
rnacentral:rRNA from 1 species